GAUGAACGCUGGCGGCGUGCCUAACACAUGCAAGUCGAACGAAGCGAUCAAGAUGAAGUUUUCGGAUGAAUUCGAGAUUGACUGAGUGGCGACGGGUGAGUAACGCGUGGGUAACCUGCCUCAUACAGGGGGAUAACAGUUAGAAAUGACUGCUAAUACCGCAUAAGCGCACAGUAUCGCAUGAUACAGUGUGAAAAACUCCGGUGGUAUGGGAUGGACCUGCGUCUGAUUAGCUAGUUGGUGAGGUAAACGGGCCCACCAAGGCGACGAUCAGUAGCCGACCUGAGAGGGUGACCGGCCACAUUGGGACUGAGACACGGCCCAAAACUCCUACGGGAGGCAGCAGUGGGGAAUAUUGGGCAAUGGGGGAAACCCUGACCCAGCAACGCCGCGUGAAGGAAGAAGGCUUUCGGGUUGUAAACUUCUUUUACCAGGGACGAAGAACGUGACGGUACCUGGAGAAAAAGCAACGGCUAACUACGUG
rnacentral:rRNA from 1 species